UUAUAAGAGACAGCAGUAGCCGCGGUAAUACGGAGGGUGCAAGCGUUACUCGGAAUCACUGGGCGUAAAGCGUGCGCAGGCGGUUGUGUAAGACAGAUGUGAAAUCCCCGGGCUUAACCUGGGAACUGCAUUUGUGACUGGCGGGCUAGAGUAUGGCAGAGGGGGGUAGAAUUCCACGUGUAGCAGUGAAAUGCGUAGAGAUGUGGAGGAAUACCGAUGGCGAAGGCAGCCCCCUGGGCCAAUACUGACGCUCAUGCACGAAAGCGUGGGGAGCAAACAGGAUUAGAUACCCCUGUAGUCCCUGUCUCUUAUAA
rnacentral:rRNA from 1 species